ACGACCGACGGUGAGGGGGAUGGGUUUCCCGGUGGUUUCUGUCGGAAGUAGGAUGGUGGUAUGGUGUUGUUGGGGUGGCUAGGGGAUAAGAAUGGAAUGGGAAUACCUAGGGGGAUAGGGAAUGAAGUUGGAAGGAUUUAGGAGAAUGGAGAGAGUAAAGGGAACGGGAAAAAAAGCUUAACAAACAGCAACAAAGGGAAUGGAGGCAGUUGAUUUUCAUUCCCUUUGAUGAUUACCCUUAACCAAACGACCCUAAGUCUCUUUUGAGGGUUGUUUCAAGAAAAAAAAAAAAAAAAAAAAAAAAAAAAAAAAAACUCCACCUAAAAAAACCAAAGCAAAAGAAAACCCUAGUUUUUUUUCAUUAACAAAACUCUUUUCACUGUAUUCAGUACUGUAUGAAAACCGAAGGAGCAAAGAAGCUCCGAAUCAAUUGCAAUGGCGGUUGGCGAAUACUCUUAUGAAACCCUAAGCCCUUUCCUACCUCCCUCCGCCGCCGUCGAAACCACCAUUUCCGGCGGCGAAGACGCCGGCGACUACGUAGUGUUCCGCAAUGAAAUCUCUCUUACGUCAUUGGAGCCCGCCUCCACUGACGCCGCCGCGACCGAUUACUUCUCCCUUGACGUCGAUGAUGCUUCGGAUGAAGUAAUUGAUCCAACUCCUAUGCCUAAGGUGGUUGCUGCGGAGGAGAGAGAAAAUGAUGCUGAUCGGACGCCGGAGUGGACGCUCGAGAGUGGUUGGUUUCGGGCCGAUUGUCGGUUCAAGUGCCCUAUGCUUCAGCUUCAUAAAGAGAUCCUGGACUUCUGUGAUUUUCUCUCCCCAACUCCUGUAGAAGCUGCAGCACGCAAUGCAGCCAUUGAACGUGUAUCUGAUGUUAUCAAAUAUAUAUGGCCCUAUUGCAGGGUAGAGGUUUUCGGGUCAUAUAGAACAGGGCUCUAUCUGCCAUCAAGUGACAUUGAUGUUGUGAUUCUCGAAUCAAAUAUCAAAACUCCACAACUUGGCUUACAAGCUCUGUCUAGGGCAUUGUCACAAAAGGGUAUUGCGAAAAAGAUGCAGGUGAUUGGUAAAGCUAGGGUGCCGAUUAUUAAAUUUCUGGAGAAGGUGACUGAUGUUGCAUUUGACAUUAGUUUUGAUGUUGACAAUGGUCCCAAAGCUGCUGAGUAUAUCCAGGAUGCAAUAUCAAGGUUGCCUCCCUUGCGGCCUCUCUGUUUGAUUCUUAAGGUUUUCCUGCAGCAGAGAGAGUUGAACGAGGUUUACUCUGGAGGAGUUGGCUCUUAUGCACUGCUUGCCAUGCUGAUUGCUAUGCUGCGAAGUGUGAAUGACUGCCAAAGGUCUCCAGAGCAGAACUUGGGAAUAUUAUUGGUUAAAUUUUUUGAGUUCUAUGCUCAUAGAUUAAACACUUGGGAUGUUGGUGUGUCCUGCAAUGGAACAGGAACCUUUUAUUUAAAGAGUCGCAAAGGGUUUCAAACUAAGGGGCGCCCAUUUCUUAUAUCAAUAGAAGAUCCGCAGACACCUGGAAAUGACAUAGGGAAGAACUCUUUUAACUACUUUCAGAUAAGAUCAGCAUUCAUGAUGGCUUAUGCGACGCUUACAAAUACCAAAACCAUCAUGAAUUUGGGUCCCAAUAAAAGUAUACUUGGAACAAUUAUUAGACCAGACCCAGUUUUGUUGGAACGAAAGGGAGGAAUUAAAGGCGAGUUGACUUUCAACAAUUUACUAACAGGCGCUGGUGAAGCAUUGGAUUCACAGUAUGAUGAGAAGCAGGAUAUCUUGUGUAAUUGGCAAUUUGACAAUGAUUAUGAGGAAGAACCACUGCCUCGUGGUGGCAAUGCCGAAUGUAGUAGUCCCUCUUCCUCUGGUAAGAAGAGGAAGGCUUCGAAAUCAAAAUCGUUUGGGAAGGUCAAAGAGAAUGGAAGCAUCGGUAAGAAUGGUUAUGAAGAAAAUGGAUCCAGAAAAGAGAGGAAGAGAGAAAAGAAACGAUCCAAAUUCUUGUGAUGUUGAGAACCCUAUAUCCAUGGAAGCAUAUUUUAUCCUGAGAAGCCUUGGAGGUUGGAUGGAUAUGUUUGAGGUAUAUGAUGCCGCUACUAAGAUAUCACAGGCUCAUCUUCCUCUGUUCCUCUCUGGACAGUUACUGCAGCUGAUUAUGUUAACAGAUUUCCUGGAGUAUCCAGUAUUGAUGGGCAGAAAUCGUUCAUAAGAAUAUGGGAAUAUGCCAUAUAUAUGGAAGGGCUUGGAGUAUUUUUCUGCGAAAUGGUAAUGGAAGUUCAAAUUAGUUUUGCAAGAUGCAUGCACCUCAAUACAAAGUGCCAUUCAGAUGGAAGAUGGUUUUUAACUUUAGAAAGUCUUAGGGAGCAAUUAGCAUUUACUUUCCCCUUUAAUCAUUUGAUAGAUUCCCAAGCUCAAAAUAGUACAAUUUUUUGGUUCUCUUUUGUAGUGAAUUUGCUACUCUUUGGUUCAAAUUUAGACAUUUUUUAGUCCA